rnacentral:rRNA from 1 species
CACGUAGGGCGCGAGCGUUGUCCGGAAUUAUUGGGCGUAAAGAGCUCGUAGGCGGCCUGUUGCGUCCGCUGUGAAAGCCCGGGGCUUAACCCCGGGUCUGCAGUGGAUACGGGCAGGCUAGAGGUAGGUAGGGGAGAAUGGAAUUCCCGGUGUAGCGGUGAAAUGCGCAGAUAUCGGGAGGAACACCGGUGGCGAAGGCGGUUCUCUGGGCAUUAACUGACGCUGAGGAGCGAAAGCAUGGGGAGCGAACAGG